AACGAACGCUGUCGGCAGGCUUAACACAUGCAAGUCGAGCGCCCCGCAAGGCGAGCGGCAGACGGGUGAGCAACGCGUGGGAAUCUACCCAUCUCUACAGAAUAACGCAUGGAAACGUGUGCUAAUACCGUAUACGUCCUUCGGGAGACAGAUUUAUCGGAGAUGGAUGAGCCCGCGUUGGAUUAGCUAGUUGGUGGGGUAAAGGCCUACCAAGGCGACGAUCCAUAGCUGGUCUGAGAGGAUGAUCAGCCACACUGGGACUGAGACACGGCCCAGACUCCUACGGGAGGCAGCAGUGGGGAAUAUUGGACAAUGGGCGCAAGCCUGAUCCAGCCAUGCCGCGUGAGUGAUGAAGGCCCUAGGGUUGUAAAGCUCUUUCACCGGUGAAGAUAAUGACGGUAACCGGAGAAGAAGCCCCGGCUAACUUCGUGCCAGCCGCCGCUGUAACAC
rnacentral:rRNA from 1 species